UUUCGAAUCAUUCACAAUGGGCGAAAGCCUGAUGGUGCGACGCCGCGUGAGGGAUGAAGGUCUUCGGAUUGUAAACCUCUGUCACCGGGGAAGAAACGCUAUACGAUAACAUCGGAUAGCCUGACUUAACCCGGAGAGGAAGCAGUGGCUAACUCUGUGCCAGCAGCCGCGGUAAUACAGAGACUGCAAGCGUUAUUCGGAUUCACUGGGCGUAAAGGGUGCGCAGGCGGCCGUGUGUGUGAGAUGUGAAAUCCCGGGGCUUAACUCCGGAACUGCGUCUCAAACUACACGGCUAGAGCAUUGGAGAGGGAAGUGGAAUUCACGGUGUAGCAGUGAAAUGCGUAGAUAUCGUGAGGAACACCAGAGGCGAAGGCGACUUCCUGGACAAUUGCUGACGCUC
rnacentral:rRNA from 1 species